rnacentral:rRNA from 1 species
UCAGCAGCCGCGGUAAUUCCAGCUCCAAUAGCGUAUAUUAAAGUUGUUGCAGUUAAAAAGCUCGUAGUUGAACCUUGGGUCUGGCUGGCCGGUCCGCCUCACCGCGAGUACUGGUCCGGCUGGACCUUUCCUUCUGGGGAACCUCAUGGCCUUCACUGGCUGUGGGGGGAACCAGGACUUUUACUGUGAAAAAAUUAGAGUGUUCAAAGCAGGCCUUUGCUCGAAUACAUUAGCAUGGAAUAAUAGAAUAGGACGUGCGGUUCUAUUUUGUUGGUUUCUAGGACCGCCGUAAUGAUUAAUAGGGAUAGUCGGGGGCGUCAGUAUUCAGCUGUCAGAGGUGAAAUUCUUGGAUUUGCUGAAGACUAACUACUGCGAAAGCAUUCGCCAAGGAUGUUUUCAUUAAUCAGGGAACGAAAGUUAGGGGAUCGAAGACGAUCAGAUACCGUCGUAGUCUUAACCAUAAACUAUGCCGACUAGGGAUCGGACGGGAUUCUAUGAUGACCCGUUCGGCACCUUACGAGAAAUCUUUUUUUUUGGGUUCUGGGGGGAGUAUGGUCGCAAGGCUGAAACUUAAAGAAAUGACGGAAGGCACCAAC